GGAAGCUCUGGCUAGCAGGCGUAGGAAACUCUGGCUAGCAGGCGUGGGAAGCUCUGGCUAGCAGGCGUAGGAAACUCUGACUAGCAGGUGUGGGAAGCUCCCACCUUUGCACACAGCAAUUUUCAUUUAUUUGUAACGAAUGUUUUACAUCAUGUAGGAUAUUCCUUCUACGUCACAAUUGUAUAUGUUAUGUUGGACUUUCACAUAAGAUUCAAAUAAAAUAUUAUUUUAUGUUUGCGGAUGUAAUGUGACUAAAUUUGGGAAAGUUCAGGAAAGGGCCACAGGAAGCACGGUCUGGGUUCAUCAGAGUGCAUUUAGAAGCAGAACAACACCCUGGUUGUAAUCCUGUCAUCCUCAGAUACAGAAAGGAGCUGCAGCACAAAUGAAAAGUCUCAGGGUGGGGAGGCUAGUGUCCAGUUCAGGGCUUCGCCUGUUCCUGACAGUCCUGUAUCUGCUCACAAUGAGCUGCAGCUCCAAGUGUGACAGUCGAAGUGUCAGUCCAACCAUUCUCCAUCACAGAAGAAGUUAUCAAUUGCACUGUUGAACUGGAGUCAUCAACUCUAAAGAGAACCAGAGAAGCGCCAAAUACUGAACCUGGACCACAGGAGGAUUCCUCCAUGCUAUCUUCUCCAGCUUCUAGACAACCUGACACUGAUAAAAGGAGGAA